rnacentral:lncRNA from 1 species
GAAGAUAUAGGCGAAGGCGCCGAGUCUGCUCCACCUCCACCACCGGCAGAGGUCUCUGCUUCGCCUGCCCCCGUCGCUGCCGCCCCCGAUUUUAUCGCCAUCCCUCACCCAAUCAUGCAUCUGAUGAGGGGCUUCAGUGGUGGAACAAUGCCAGAGGGCUCCGACAGGAAGGAGGGCAUGCCUUUCUACUUGGGGGCCUUCUUGGCGGUGGCCCUUGAAUGGCGCGCCCAGGCCAGAAACGCUGUUCUGCAGACUCAAACCCUCCAGGCCUUGGAAACAAGGGUAGCUGCCCUGGAGGAGGAAAAGAAAACCCUGGAAUGCCAAAACGAGGCCUACCAAAACACUCUGAAGCAGGCUCAAGAGGCC